AGUCACUUGGCUCUCUGAACACAUCCAGCUAAUUCUCUGCACACAUCGCAAGAGAUAUAACAGAGGCAAGCUGGAAGCAGAUGAGAGGCAAAACGACUCCAAGUCGGAGACGCGGAGAUGGGAGAAAAGAAAACUGUUCAACACGUUCACAGCAAAUGGAAUCACAGCAUUUUCCUCUGCUUCUGCUCGCGUGCAUUUAGCCAUUAGGGGUUCCCCAAACAUCAGCUUUCAGAACUAAUGCCGAAGACCGGGAGGAGAAGAUCAAGGCUUCUUUCUCCUCUGCCUUCCUUUGGCAAUCACGUCCUUGAGGUGAUGUGAGCUGGCCUGUCUUACACCAGCAAUCACCUUGUGGAUGGAAGUCGGAGUUUUUGAACAUGAAGUAGAAAAUGACUCCAUAUGUUGCUGGAACAGCAAGAUUAAAAAGAGAAGACAAUAGCUUACAAGAAAGAUGCUUGUCCAUCAUUUGACGGGCAUCAGGACGUUGAAUGGAGUCUCAAUCAGACAAAAUAUAACAGAACGUGAACAUGUGAAGUAUCAUAUGCAAGUGGACAGGAAGAGAAUGUAAAAAUACUUCAAAGACCAGUGUUUCAAAUUUUAAACAGAAAGGUGCAGCUGGUCUGUAUUUCUCAGAUGGCUUUUCAAAAUGCAUUUGCUGAAACUAUUUUUAAGGCCAAACUGUUGGAAUCUUCUUGAGAGCUGUUGGUUAUUGUAGCCAGUCCUGAAUUAGGCAAAAAUACAAAGAGCUACAGAGGCUGUGUGUGGUGUUCCACUAAAAGCAACUGUAUAUGUAUGGGUACAUGCCUGUAUACAUGUAGGUACACGUCUUUGCACAUAGAUGUGUGUUUAUAUGCAUAUGAGCUUGUGUGUAUACACAUGUGUAGAUGGAUUCAUGUGUGUGCACACAGUUGUAUACUCCCAUCUGUGCUUGUGCACAAACAUCCAUGGCUGUGUUCUCAGGAAAGGGGGCACUGUGUGUUCAUGUGGUACCAUUACUCCCCAGAA